rnacentral:rRNA from 1 species
CAUGGGUGGGUGUGGUACAUACUUCUGCACACGCACGCCAGCACAGAGCCUCACAAUUUGAAAUCUGGCACCUUCGGUGUCCGAGUUGUAAUUUGAAGAAGGUAACUUUGGAGUUGGCUCUUGUCUAUGUUCCUUGGAACAGGACGUCACAGAGGGUGAGAAUCCCGUGCGAUGAGAUGCCCAAUUCUAUGUAAAGUGCUUUCGAAGAGUCGAGUUGUUUGGGAAUGCAGCUCUAAGUGGGUGGUAAAUUCCAUCUAAAGCUAAAUAUUGGCGAGAGACCGAUAGCGAACAAGUACAGUGAUGGAAAGAUGAAAAGAACUUUGAAAAGAGAGUGAAAAAGUACGUGAAAUUGUUGAAAGGGAAGGGCUUGAGAUCAGACUUGGUAUUUUGCGAUCCUUUCCUUCUUGGUUGGGUUCCUCGCAGCUUACUGGGCCAGCAUCGGUUUGGAUGGUAGGAUAAUGACUAAGGAAUGUGGCUCUACUUCGGUGGAGUGUUAUAGCCUUGGUUGAUACUGCCUGUCUAGACCGAGGACUGCGUCUUUGACUAGGAUGCUGGCAUAAUGAUCUUAAGCCACCCGUCUUGAACCCACGGACCCAGUAU